rnacentral:lncRNA from 1 species
CUAGCCACAUUUCUCCCAAGUGAUACAGAAAUUUACAAAUGCCCAGGCCAUCCUGAGCAUCAUCUAAGAACUCUUGGUCCAGUGGAAACUUGAGGAAGUGGGGGCAGCUCCAGCCGAGUCUCCCCUGAAGUGGUUCAGAUCCGCACAUACCACAGCCGUCAAGCACAGGCAACCAAAACAGCAACAAAAAGAGCCGCCCACUCAGGCUCCUGUGAGCCUUCACGUCUGGGUUCAUGAGGCUCCCGCUUAGAAGCGGAAGUGGAAAACCAAAUAAAGUCAACUCCAUGGAGGUCCUGGGGACUUAACACUGAGCAGCCACACGAAUACCAGAGUGAUACAUCAUGAUUCAUGUUCUUACAAUAAAUGCCUAAGAAAGUCAUGAGGAUUUGGCACUUAGUAUCAAGCACCGGCAAGACAGCUCAGUUUUCUGCCUGUUGUGAAGUGUAGCCUGGGACAUUUUCUCCCAUUGAGCAAUAUGCAUUAGCCAUGUUAUCUAUAGUAGCAAAGGAGUUACUGAUAAAGCUUUAUUAAGUGAUAUCAAGACUUUUUUUUUUAAAUGUUCUUUUCUGUUCUGGGAGAGGCUUUAGAAAAGACACUAAGUUGUUGUUCUUCCCAAAGUAUCCCUACCAGCCCAAUAUGAGAAGAUGAAACACAUAACUAGAGGAUUAGCAAUCCAGGAAUCACUGACUUAAUACUGUUCAUACUUAACAGAAUACGCUGCAGAAGAAACAAGUAAAAACGAAGAACAUUCCUAUGGAGCAAAUCCCUAUUUUCCCAUUUAGGAAACUAUGAAAAGAAAGAAAGAAAGAAAAAGGACCAGAUGGUUCUCUAGGCCCUCACAAGUACAGUGAAGGGUGUGAUGCCUCACCAGGAAAAGGGCUUUUCCAUAAGAAAAAUAAAAUUAACAAAACUGCAUCUCCAUGGUGACUCGAACAGUUAGUGCUCCAGCCACUGCAUCCAUUCUGGCCAACUUUAAGGUGGACACAUCCUUGCUGGUAAAUCAAUGGCUGCUGAAAUAGAUAGGAAAGGUGCAGGCCAUUUAUCUUGUACACUGAAUCCUCUCUGGCUGGUGGCCUGGAUGGUAUGAAUUCUUGGUUUAGGAUGGAAGAGUUGGAAGGGACCUCGGAAAAAACUAGUCUUCUCUGCCCUCCUGCUUGAUAUGAGAGGUGCCCAGACAGCAUCUCCAAUAAUUUUUCAGAUCCAUAGUCACAAACAACAUGAGUCAGAGAGGAGAUCAAGGACAUGUGGGACACAUUUGCAGGGCAACAUCUGCCCGAGGCCACGAGACACUUUCUAUCAUCUCUCCUGCCCCACCCCCUACCCCCGCCUUGUUUCCUUGUGAUCUCUCUUGCCUCUAGGUCUUUGCACAUGUGGUUCCUUCUGCUUGGGGUCCUCUCCACUCCCCCACCCCACCCCAUCAACCUUGUCUGGCUAACUCCUACUCAUCCUUGCAGGCCCUGACUUGGCAAGAUUAGGUUGGUGCUGCUCCUCUGACUUGUCCCACUACAGUGACCAACCAUUCUGGUUUCCCUGGGACUGAGGGGCUUCCUGGAUAUGGGACUUUUAGCUCUGAAAUCAGAUAGUCACCCUGAAUCCCUUGCUCCCUAUGCUUACCAUCCCCAGACUUGGGAUCUUCUAGUGCAACCGCCUGCUUGCUUAUAGCACUGGACACUAUCAGUAUCCUGAAACCAGGGGUAGGGCCAAUCAUCUCUGCAAUCCUGCUGUGUACCUAGCCCACACCUGGCAUGUGGCAAAUGAGCAAAAAUCAUAACUGGAAUAGGUACUUAGUGCUGACUGAUUGACUGACUGACUGACAAUGUAAAAAUCGACAUUCUUUUCCACAUGGGUCUCUCAGUGCUGUUUCCUGCAGCCUCUCCAGCCCUUCCUUGAAUCCAGCUUGGGUUCUGAGACCUGCUAUGGUACCACUCCUGCCCAGAGCAGCUAACAAAUGCCUGACAGAGGCUCAUGCAUACAGACUCGUGCACUCUUCUUUCCCAGUCUGGGUCAUCAUUUAUCUUUAGUUACUGACAUAAAGAGACUCGGGACUAGGAAAGAUAUUUAUGUCACUGUUGAUUUCUUUGUCUACCAUUAAUUGAGAGUUUAGGUGCCAAGCACCAUGGUACACCCUUUUCUUCAUUUGCAGAUUUAAUACUCAAAUUAUCCCCAUGAGCUCUCAUUACCACCCUUUUCCAAAUGAAGACUCUGAGGCUCAGAGUUCCACCAUUGGUUACAGGUGACUUGAAGCUUGAACCCAAGGCAAAAGUUUGAUGCUUUUAACCACUAUCCUAUCAUGCCAGAAGCUGUCUGCAGUGUUGGAGGAGGCAAACUUGGGGACUUUGCUGUCAAGUUUGUGGCACAAUAAUUUGAGGCCAGAGACACACAGGGCUAUUGUGUCCCUUGCCUGUCACCCAUCCUUAGCCCGGCCCCUUCUGGGGGGAUGAAAGCAUGAUUCAGAAGCAUGCGUCCCCGAGUUUCAGGGAAGACUGACCCAGUGGUUUUAUGAGAGAGCUGAGAAUAGCUGAUAAAACAGGAAGGCUCCCAAACCCUUUAGGUGAUAAAUGAGAAGCCAAGAUCAAGAAGGGGAGGGCUCUUGUUCAAGGUAACACAGCCAGACAGUGGUAACACCAGGCCUGAGCCCCUAAUCUCUGACUUCCUGUCCAUGUCAGUUCCCCACUUUCUUCCCCCAUUCUCUGACUAUCAAAAACACACAAGGCUCUCUUUACCACAUUCCUUGGGUUUUAAAGUCACUGCUCCUGCUGUCGUCCCUCCCCAGUCCUAAUACUUUUUUCUUUCUUUUUAACAUUUGAGGAAGAAAGUGUUGUGGUUAACAGCAUUUGAAUUCCACAGUGUCACUAUAACAUGUAAUAAAUACUUUUUAUUAUUUAUUACCAAAAUGCUUAGGGGUCAUGGAAGACUGAAAGCUGUUCUAUUCCUUCUGAUGCUGCGCUAAGUUUGCUCCAGUCACUGGUGGGGGUAAGGGUGACACAGCUAGACCUGAUGAUCUAAUCUUCUCAGCGUCACAGGCUGUAUCUCCACAGUUAUGCUAAAAUUGUAGGUGACUGGAAGAUUUAUUUUAGCUCAAUCUUUGCAGUCCUGAAAAUGGCAGGUUCUCAGAAACAGUGAUCCAGCUACCCAGGACCACCUGGAUGAGCUAACAGGGAAACUGGUCCAAGAGUCUAGGUCACCCCAGAGUCUAAAGUAAUCAGAAAGUUCUGCCCCAGUAAUCAGAAAGUUGCUGCAGAAAGCACUGCACGUUCAAAGCCAGUUGGGCAAACUCACUUUGGGGAUAUUCUUGGUACUUUUAAAAGCCAUAUCCAGAGUUUUUUUUUAAAAAAAGACCAGAGACUGUCAACCCUGCACACACCACCCCCACCAUCCUCCAUACCUGCAACCCAGGAAUUUUGCUUGCACUAAAAAAGGCAUCUUCCAAGAGGACCUAUGAACUUAAAACAAAUGCUGUUUAAUUUGCUAUUCAUUAGGGGUGUAUCUGGAUUGAUUUAUUGCACCCUUCUGACCCCACGUCUUUGGAACAGCAUUCCUUCACGAUUAAACAGGGAAAGGAUUCAGGCAGGACUUUCAGGGAUAAGUGUAGACGGCUACAACGAUACCUUAAAUUGCUCCGUAUCAGGUAACCCAAAGGAAACGCUCUCGACCCAAUUCAGCGUUGAAUGCACAUGAGCCAGACAAGAGUUUGCAAGUUUUUUGACCUAGGUUUCCCAAGCCUUUCCUAAGGGAUGUGGCCAGCACAGACCACUAUUAUCCAGAUUAUGAGCUUUUGAGUACUUCCACAUUCAGGAUAUUCUGAGAAUGCCUAACCACAUACAAUUGAUCACAGAAACUGCAAUCCCUUUUGAUCCCGAGGAAGUCAGCUCUUCCUGGUAACUACGCAGCAGCAGGGAAAAAAAAAAAAA